rnacentral:tRNA from 1 species
AAAUCCGUCGACUUUUCAAAUCGUGAGG